GAGAAAGAGAGUUUGCAAUGUUCAUAACAAUUACAUAGGCACAACGCUAAAGCUGAAGUAUUUAAUCAAUGGGAUAAAUUCACCAAUGAGAUCUUGGUGUGAGUCUCUGCCUGCAUUUCUGAAGCCCUCUGCCCUGAAGCUGACAUCUUUCAGAGCUGAAUGAAUUCCUGAGACCGUGUGUAGGAAGGUGCAAAGAGACAAAUAAGUCAUCUGAUUAUUUCAUCCCCACUCCCCAGAGGCAUGGACUCCGAACAGUUUCUUGGCUGCCUUCCAGAAUUUUCUAUGUUAAUAACAUAAAUAUAAGUUAUACAUAGGAAAUCUCUCUCUCUCUCUCUCUCACACACACACACACACAAACACACACACGCACACACACAUAAUGGCAGCUUGGUGGUUGGGAGCCUGAUGGAGGCAGCUGAUACAGUAUAGCAUAGUAUAUGGACAGCCUGAUUAGUGGCCCCACCACUUACUAGCUACAUUAUCUUGAACAAGUUGCUUAGCCUCUGUGUUUCAAUUUCCUCAUCAGUAAAAUGGGGAUGAUAAGCCUGCCACACAGGUUUCUUC
rnacentral:lncRNA from 1 species